rnacentral:rRNA from 1 species
UACGUAGGGUGCAGGCGUUAAUCGGAAUUACUGGGCGUAAAGCGUGCGCAGGCGGUUUGCUAAGACAGGUGUGAAAUCCCCGGGCUUAACCUGGGAACUGCGCUUGUAACUGGCAAGCUAGAGUGUGGCAGAGGGGGGUGGAAUUCCAGGUGUAGCAGUGAAAUGCGUAGAUAUGUGGAGGAACACCGAUGGCGAAGGCAGCCCCCUGGGUCAAGAUUGACGCUCAUGCACGAAAGCGUGGGGAGCAAACAGG